rnacentral:rRNA from 1 species
UACGUAGGGCGCGAGCGUUGUCCGGAAUUAUUGGGCGUAAAGAGCUCGUAGGCGGCCUGUUGCGUCCGCUGUGAAAUCCCAGGGCUUAACCCUGGGCGUGCAGUGGAUACGGGCAGGCUGGAGGCAGGCAGGGGAGACUGGAAUUCCUGGUGUAGCGGUGAAAUGCGCAGAUAUCAGGAGGAACACCGGUGGCGAAGGCGGGUCUCUGGGCCGAUACUGACGCUGAGGAGCGAAAGCGUGGGGAGCGAACAGG